GUGUCGUAGAAAAGGAGAGACGGUUAGCACUCCCCUUGACAAGGACGGAAGGUCUCCCGACCUAUACGAUAACACCAGGCAAGGCAUGAUGGCUAGCACCCGUCACCUGGCUCGUUUUUUU
rnacentral:ncRNA from 1 species